GGGCUUCAUGGCACCACACUUAAAGAUGGUAGAUAUUAUGUAUGUUGUAUUUUACUGCCAUUUUUAAAAAAGUGCUUGAAGAUUGUAAUGAAUUUAUGUAACAUGCAAUGCCACUAGCCUGCGGUAGAGGGCAAAGGCACUCAAACUUCACUGAAAAGCUUGACUGCAGUGCCCCUACUGCCAGUCCAGCCCUGUCAACGAACCAUCCACACCUGCAGCUCUGCUGGAGCCUCUGCAAGCCACAGGGGAUUUUGAACUCCUCUUCAUCGUUCAUAUGAGGGAACCCGUG
ensembl:lncRNA